rnacentral:lncRNA from 1 species
CACUCAUUUGGAGUUAGAACAGCCUGGAGUGGUGCCCUGGAACUGAUUCCUGAUGUACCGGAACCGUGUCCCUGGCUGGCAACUGAGGCGGUUGCAUGUGUUUUCUGUGGACUGAGUGCCUGACUUUCUCAUUGUCUUUUGCUCAUACUGGAUUUUUCCUCUUCCUAAAAUAACUUGGUCCUGGGAAUGAACCAUUCAGCAGCCUGGAACUUGAAACUCAAACUGAAAAAAAGGGCAGAAAGACUAGCAGUGGUUCCAUUCCAAUUGAGUCACCGACUUCCCUUCAAAGACUGCUUUCAAAUUGGUUCAAGUUACAGUAACAAUUUUCAUGGUAGAAACACAGGUUUGGUGAGAACUGGACUGAAUCUUCCAAGUGUCUGUUUGCUCUUCUGUGACUGUAUAAGGAUGUUUUUUCCACCUGUGAUGACUGCUCUUGAUUCUUUGUUGGCCUUCUCUGAGUUUUGGUUCUGA